GACGAACGCUGGCGGCGUGCUUAACACAUGCAAGUCGAGCGGAAAGGCCUGCUUUCCCUUGUGGAUUGCGGGUACUCGAGUGGCGAACGGGUGAGUAACACGUGAGUGAUCUGCCCCCAACUUGGGUAUAAGCCUGGGAAACUGGGUCUAAUUCCCGAUAGGACUGCAGGGUGGUGCCUGUGGUGGAAAACGAUUUUCUAGUGGUUGGGGAUGAGCUCGCGGCCUAUCAGCUUGUUGGUGGGGUAAUGGCCUACCAAGGCGGCGACGGGUAGCCGGCCUGAGAGGGUGGACGGCCACAUUGGGACUGGGAUACGGCCCAGACUCCUACGGGAGGCAGCAGUGGGGAAUAUUGCACAAUGGGCGGAAGCCUGAUGCAGCGACGCCGCGUGGGGGAUGACGGCCUUCGGGUUGUAAACUCCUUUCGACCGCGAGGAAGCCACCUGGUUGGAAGGGUGGUGACGGUAGUGGUAGAAGAAGCACCGGCUAACUACGUG
rnacentral:rRNA from 1 species